rnacentral:rRNA from 1 species
AGAGUUUGAUUCUGGCUCAGAACGAACGCUGGCGGCGUGGAUAAGACAUGCAAGUCGAACGAGAGAAUUGCUAGCUUGCUAAUAAUUCUCUAGUGGCGCACGGGUGAGUAACACGUGAGUAACCUGCCCCCGAGAGCGGGAUAGCCCUGGGAAACUGGGAUUAAUACCGCAUAGUAUCGAAAGAUUAAAGCAGCAAUGCGCUUGGGGAUGGGCUCGCGGCCUAUUAGUUAGUUGGUGAGGUAACGGCUCACCAAGGCGAUGACGGGUAGCCGGUCUGAGAGGAUGUCCGGCCACACUGGAACUGAGACACGGUCCAGACACCUACGGGUGGCAGCAGUCGAGAAUCAUUCACAAUGGGGGAAACCCUGAUGGUGCGACGCCGCGUGGGGGAAUGAAGGUCUUCGGAUUGUAAACCCCUGUCAUGUGGGAGCAAAUUAAAAAGAUAGUACCACAAGAGGAAGAGACGGCUAACUCUGUGCCAGCAGCCGCGGUAAUACAGAGGUCUCAAGCGUUGUUCGGAAUCACUGGGCGUAAAGCGUGCGUAGGCUGUUUCGUAAGUCGUGUGUGAAAGGCGCGGGCUCAACCCGCGGACGGCACAUGAUACUGCGAGACUAGAGUAAUGGAGGGGGAACCGGAAUUCUCGGUGUAGCAGUGAAAUGCGUAGAUAUCGAGAGGAACACUCGUGGCGAAGGCGGGUUCCUGGACAUUAACUGACGCUGAGGCACGAAGGCCAGGGGAGCGAAAGGGAUUAGAUACCCCUGUAGUCCUGGCAGUAAACGGUGCACGCUUGGUGUGCGGGGAAUCGACCCCCUGCGUGCCGGAGCUAACGCGUUAAGCGUGCCGCCUGGGGAGUACGGUCGCAAGAUUAAAACUCAAAGAAAUUGACGGGGACCCGCACAAGCGGUGGAGCAUGUGGUUUAAUUCGAAGCAACG